GAUGAAGAACGUAGCGAAAUGCGAUAAGUAGUGUGAAUUGCAGAAUUCAGUGAAUCAUCGAAUCUUUGGACGCACAUUGCGCCCCUUGGUAUCCCGAGGGGCAUGCCUGUUCGAGCGUCAUUUCACCACUCAAGCCUGGCUUGGUGUUGGGCGACGUCCUCUUUGGGGACGCGCCUCGAAACGCUCGGCGGCGUGGCACCGGCUUUAAGCGUAGCAGAAUCUUUCGCUUUGGAAGUCGGGGCCCCGUCUGCCGGAAGACCUGCUCGCAAGGUUGACCUCGGAUCAGGCAGGGAUACCCGCUGAACUUAAGCAUAUCAAUAAGCGGAGGA
rnacentral:misc_RNA from 1 species